UACGGAGGGGACUAGCGUUGUUCGGAAUUACUGGGCGUAAAGCGCACGUAGGCGGAUUUGUAAGUCAGGGGUGAAAUCCUGGAGCUCAACUCCAGAACUGCCUUUGAUACUGAGGAUCUUGAGUUCGGGAGAGGUGAGUGGAACUGCGAGUGUAGAGGUGAAAUUCGUAGAUAUUCGCAAGAACACCAGUGGCGAAGGCGGCUCACUGGCCCAUAACUGACGCUGAGGCACGAAAGCGUGGGGAGCAAACAGG
rnacentral:rRNA from 1 species